GAAUCCAAAAAUGUCUCCGCUGUGCUCAAUGGAUGCAUUAAGAACUGGAAAGCUUUCGUCGAAUGGAAUCCGGCUAAUGGUGGCCUCUGUUACUUCAAGGUCUCUUUAAUGUUUUAGAAUUAUUUCUAUUAAACGAAUGUGAUUACUUGAUUCAUUGAAAUUUAGGAACGGGUAGGAUCAUCUACUGUGGAAGCUGUGCUAUCCAAAACAGCACCCGUGUUUUACGGUGAUAUUAGAAGCCAUGAAAGGGAAGGCAUCAGGAUGCUGUUACUGAUGUAGAGCCCAGUUUGCUUUCUGGCGAUGCUCCUCGACAAAUUUAUAUAGCACAGGUUGGAAUUUUGCUGUUUCUAGAGGCCGGCCGACUGUUAUUUUUCUUGUUUAUCGCGUUUGAUACUGUGUGAUAUUGAAUUGUUACGAUGGUGAAAAUUUAAAUUAUGUUUGAAUUUUAAUUGUCUGUGAUCAGGUUCUGAUAAUGAAUCCUGAGGAUCGAGAGAGUGUUCAACUUGAAGUUGUUUUAUGCCUCCCUUCUGCAAGUCCAUUUUUUACCCAAAGCCUGUGAUCGUUCUGUUGCUCUUGAAAACACUGACUUCUCAUUAUAUCUGAGAGCAAAAUGGUCCAUGGACUACGCUCAGAAGGUUUUUCUUCAUGCAGGUGAUGCACUUUUCAUUCCUGAAGGCUGGUAAGGUUUAAAAAUGUAACGAUGCUCAUGAGAAAGUUCCCUGUACUAGGAAACUUCCUGUAAUAUGAGAAUAUAAUGCUAACUUGAAGAGCUUCUGAUAUAGUUCUAGCCUUUAUUUAAGUUUGGUAUUGACCUUUUCUUUCUAUUUUCAUAACAAAUUACAAGAGAUCUGAGAUGUGCCGUUUACUUUCUUUCAUGACUUUUGUUUUCUGUUGUAUCAGGGGUGUAUCCAUAAAGUUCAUUGCUUAGUCAUCACAAAAGGUGGUAGAGCUGACUAGAGAGAUUGAUGAAUUCUUGUGGUGGAGGAUGAGGAAUUAGGAAUUACAGUUGAGUUUGGGGAGGAAAACAUAAAAAUAUGAGUUUUGGUGGCUGUUGGUUUGGUGUUGAAUUCUGUAAACACUUGCAGGAAUUGAGACCUGAAGGCAACAUAAAGAAAAUGACUCAUAACUGAAGGUUACAGAAAUAACCGAAGACUUCUGAAAAAUAGGAAGUAAAACUUAACACGAAACCAACAACUUUCUGAUCAAGAAACCUUUAAAAAAAAAAUACUCUUCUUUGUUUAUGCACAAUUUAUUACACCAUCAUUAAGUCAUUAGACCUAUUUCUUUGACUCGACUUCACUUUUAGUAUUUAGUCAGGUGAGAUGACUGUUGUCUCCACAGGUUCCACGAAGUAGAUAGUGAUGAUUUGACCAUUCCUGUCAAUUUUGGUGGUAGUCCAUUUUAAUGUCUAAUAUGUUAGGGCACAUGGAUGCUUAUUAUAUGCGGAGAAUAUUAAGAAGGUGCUUUUCAUUGUUUCUGUUGUUUCUCCUUUUUGUCUCUUUUUUUUUUUAACUGAGAAAUUGUUCAAGUUUGAUGUCGGCAUCUGCAGUUAAGCUAUCACAAUUUGGUGAUUUUGUUUUCUCUAACGGGUUAUAUUGGCUCGCCAAAUCAAUGUAUAAAUUCAAGAUUGACAGACAAAGAAAUGGUGUGGCCAUCGCCUUGAUAUGCCAGAUGUUGCAAAUGUCAUUGCUUAUUCCAAAUUGAGACCUUUCUCUUGUUUUCAGGCACUGCAAAAUGUUUUUUCUGUUAGCUUGCUUGCAUCAUAUUUACAUGAAUUCUUUGCCAAUGUGCAGUUCUUUUUGUGAGACUGCCUUGGGUUUGUCAUCAGCCACGCCUCUGCAGUGUAAAAACAUUGCAGUGGAAAGAGAAGAUGUUUCUACAAAUUAUUAGUCAGAGAUUCUGCUCAAGCUUCGAAAAGCUCGAGGGUCACUUACAGAUAAAAUUAGUCUUCUUACUAAAGAGUACACAUUAAUGAAAAUUUCAAAAGUUAGUUUCAUCCAGACAGAACCAAGCACUCCCCAAGGCUUCUCCUGGCUCAGAGAAACUGAAGAGGCAUACAUGUGAGCUGCUCCGUAAUGGAGGAAGAGGUCA